GAGAGUAUAGCUCAAGUGCUAGAGCACAUGCUUAGCACCCAGGAAGUCCUGGGUUCAAUCCCCAGUACCUCCA
rnacentral:tRNA from 1 species